rnacentral:rRNA from 1 species
CACAGAGAGCUUGCUCUCGGGUGACGAGUGGCGGACGGGUGAGUAAUGUCUGGGAAACUGCCCGAUGGAGGGGGAUAACUACUGGAAACGGUAGCUAAUACCGCAUAAUGUCGCAAGACCAAAGUGGGGGACCUUCGGGCCUCACACCAUCGGAUGUGCCCAGAUGGGAUUAGCUUGUAGGUGAGGUAACGGCUCACCUAGGCGACGAUCCCUAGCUGGUCUGAGAGGAUGACCAGCCACACUGGAACUGAGACACGGUCCAGACUCC